rnacentral:rRNA from 1 species
UUUAAAUGUAAAUAAAAUUAUCAAAGAAGUAUUAGUUAAGUUCUUGAAAUUUAAAAAUUUUGGCGGUAUUUUAGUCUGUUCAGAGGAAUCUGUUCUAUAAUUGAUAGUCCACGAAUAAAUGUACUUAGUUUAAAUAAAUUUGUAUAUCGUCGUUGUUAAAUAUUUUAUAAGAAUAAAAAUUUUUAUAAUUAAUAAUUAUUAAAUAUUUCAGAUCAAGGUGCAGUUUAUAAUUAAGAAGAAAUGGAUUACAAUAAAUUUAUUUACAUGGAUUUAGUUAUUUAAAUAAUGAUGAAGGUGGAUUUGAAAGUAAUAAAAUUUAAAUAAAUUUUAUGAUUUUAGCUCUAAAAUGUGU